CCUACGGGUGGCUGCAGUGGGGAAUAUUGGACAAUGGGGGCAACCCUGAUCCAGCCAUGCCGCGUGUGUGAAGAAGGCCCUCGGGUUGUAAAGCACUUUCAGUGAGGAAGAACGCCUGGUGGUUAAUACCCAUCAGGAAAGACAUCACUCACAGAAGAAGCACCGGCUAACUCCGUGCCAGCAGCCGCGGUAAUACGGAGGGUGCGAGCGUUAAUCGGAAUUACUGGGCGUAAAGCGCGCGUAGGUGGCUUGAUAAGCCGGUUGUGAAAGCCCCGGGCUCAACCUGGGAACGGCAUCCGGAACUGUCAAGCUAGAGUGCAGGAGAGGAAGGUAGAAUUCCCGGUGUAGCGGUGAAAUGCGUAGAGAUCGGGAGGAAUACCAGUGGCGAAGGCGGCCUUCUGGACUGACACUGACACUGAGGUGCGAAAGCGUGGGAAGCAAACAGGAUUAGAUACCCGUGUAGUC
rnacentral:rRNA from 1 species